rnacentral:rRNA from 1 species
GGUUAAGUUAGAAAGGGCGCACGGUGGAUGCCUUGGCACUAGGAGCCGAAGAAGGACGGGACUAACACCGAUAUGCUUUGGGGAGCUGUACGUAAGCGUUGAUCCAGAGAUUUCCGAAUGGGGGAACCCACUAUCUUUAGUCGGAUAGUAUCCUUACGUGAAUACAUAGCGUGAGGAAGGCAGACCCAGGGAACUGAAACAUCUAAGUACCUGGAGGAAGAGAAAGAAAAAUCGAUUUCCUGAGUAGCGGCGAGCGAAACGGAAAGAGCCCAAACCAAGAAGCUUGCUUCUUGGGGUUGUAGGACACUCUAUACGGAGUUACAAAAGAAAGUUAUAAAUGAAGCGGUCUGGAAAGGCCCGCCAAAGACGGUAACAGCCCGGUAGUUGAAAUAGCUUUCCCUCCAGAGUGGAUCCUGAGUACGGCGGAAC